rnacentral:rRNA from 1 species
GUCGAACGCUGGCGGCGUGCUUAACACAUGCAAGUCGAACGGAAAGGCCCUGCUUGCAGGGUGCUCGAGUGGCGAACGGGUGAGUAACACGUGGGUGAUCUGCCCCUUACUUUGGGAUAAGCCUGGGAAACUGGGUCUAAUACUGGAUAGGACCAUGCUGUAGGUGGUGUGGUGGAAAGAUUAGUUUCGGUAAGGGAUGAGCUCGCGGCCUAUCAGCUUGUUGGUGGGGUAAUGGCCUACCAAGGCGUCGACGGGUAGCCGGCCUGAGAGGGUGGACGGCCACAUUGGGACUGAGAUACGGCCCAGACGCCUACGGGAGGCAGCAGUGGGGAAUAUUGCACAAUGGGCGCAAGCCUGAUGCAGCGACGCCGCGUGGGGGAUGACGGCCUUCGGGUUGUAAACUCCUUUCGGCCAUGACGAAGCCCUUGUGGUGACGGUAGUGGUAGAAGAAGCACCGGCUAACUACGUG